rnacentral:lncRNA from 1 species
UUCCUCGUCAUUCUAGCCCGGGAAACACGCCCGGUCGACCGGGGGGUGGAAAAUAUCCUAGCCUGGACCGCAAGCGAACGCGAAGGGCACGCGACUUCUCGUCGGCGUCGAUCUGCUCCGACGACCGCUUCUCAUCGGUAUGUUUCUUCCUCCCUGGGCUUUCCGUUCCCACCACCUCAGCGGACGGCUUGAAGUUUCUUCUAGCGGUGGGCGCUCGUUACACACGGCUCCCAUGGUCUGCUUGAAGUUUCCUCGCCCUAAACCCUAACCCUAAACGCGGCUUCCAUGGUCUACUUGAUCUCCUUUUAGCUGUUGUAGUGAUGGCGGCACGGCCAUGGUCUGCUUAGUUUCCUCGCCCUAGCCAACACGGAAGCUGCCGCCGAAGCACGGUCGGCCACAUCGUUCCUGCUGACAUGGUCUUCUUGAGUUUGGGGACAAAGAAACAAGAAGAAUUAGACUAGAGGGUUCAGACUUUAGCCUCUCCUACACCGGCGGUCAUGGAAACAGAUGGUUUGACUACCUGACAGUUAGCUGCCCCAGCGUUCUGAAAGAACUGCUCUCCAAAUUUGUUCCCAGUUGAACUAAAAAGAGGCGGCUUGUAACAACAAAUCUUCCCAAAGUACUAACUAUAUUUAGUCUUAAUAUAGUCAAGCCAAGAGGAUACAUGAUACCUCAGCCGUUGUAUCCUUAAUAUAUGUAGGGCUAUUUUGACGGCUAGCUGCAAAGAACCUUGUAUCAGUGAAUUUAGUUGUGUGCACUGAACUGAAACUACUAAUAGAUUUCUUGUUGCAUGUCCCAUAAAGUUCUGACGAGCAUUGCAUGGAUAUAGCAUAAUCUGUGGUGCUAGAAUGUGUGUGUUUUGGCCUUUGAGGCGCGAGCAAGUAGGACUAGGCACUUUUUUUGUUUUGAGUAUUCAGUUUUGGUUUCCAAAUUUGUCUGUAUCGGUACUCAUUUGCAGUUUCGGUUUUAGAUGGAAACCGAACCAAACAUUGGUUCAAACCCCAACACGAAGCAUUAGAUAAGAAUGCGACAAUUAGCAACUGAAAAGGACAUAUAAUCAGUUGAUUUGUCGUGCUUUGCCAGUGUAAAAAUUAUUUAGUGUUUAGUUCAGAGUACAUAUUUUUUACUUGUAAUUGUCUAGACGUAUUUUGUACUCAAUUUUACAUACCUUGCAUUAUUUCAUAUUUUAGAUCAGCAAACAGUAUGUUGCUACAAUUAUUUCGUAUUUUGCAAUUCUUGGAAGGCAAACAGUAUGUUGCUACAAUUUUACAUACCAGCAAUAUGUAUGCUGUGUGUGUAAUAAGCUUCUGAAUAGUGGUACCCCAUACAUUUUCACUAAUGAAUACAUUUUCAGUAAUGACCAUUAGCUUUCUCAUACUUGCAUUUUCAGUGAUGGAUAUCUUAGUAUCAAUAUCAACCUUCUCUCUUUUGUUCUGGUAGUGAAAGCUUAGUUUUUUUCUCUUUAUUGAGUCAUGUGGCAUAUACUAAAUUGUAAAUUUGGUUCUACCGUGAGAUGUGUGGUUUACCUUGCUUAAAUGGUUAUAGUUGCUGACAUGUAUUUUCAAUGGCAUUUUUCUUUUUAUGACAGUUGUAGACUUCCAGGGGUCGAGUUAUGUAUGAAGUAGCUCCAAUCUUUAGAGGAAGAAUGUCUUCUCAACGGGUUUUAUGUACUUGUUCUAUCAAAGAGUGAGAUGAAUCAUUAUCUAGAUCUAUGAUCUCGUCAUGUUUAGUACACUGGAAAUGUAUUCUUUUGCAACUUAUUAGUGUUAACAUACCAUGAGAUAAUUGUGCAGGUUGUUUGAAAAGGCAUUAAUAUUGAGCUGACUGAAUUAUUUUGAUAUUAUUGUGAUUGUUUAAAAUCGCAUGUUCAGUGCACCUGUUUGAAACGUGUACUGAAUGUUAGGGAUGUAACACCCCUGGUGUUACUAUAACUAAAACUUGAGCAUGACAUCAUAAGCAUUGGCAUUGCAUAUGUUUGAUACACCUAGAGUGCAUUCACUAGGCAAAAAUUUCAAACAAGUUGUAUUGUUUUAAUGUUUUUGCAAAUAGAAUCCUGGUUAUUAGGCUUAACCCUAAAUAGUGGUUAAAGGGGUAAAACUUAACCCAAGUUGAGAAAAUCUAAAAGCUUUAGGGUAAAAGUCAUAAAAUGACCCCAAAAAUAAAGUUGAAUCACAUUUAUACCCCUGGGAUACCAGAAACCCUAAUUGGAACCCUGGAAAACCCUGAAACCAAACCCUAGGGGCUUAUAUGCAAAAUUAGUCCACUUUUGGGCUAAAGUGCAAAAACCAAGCCAAAUAAGUAUCUUAAGUCCUUUGGUUCACAAAUAUGUGAAUUUACAAGCCAAACCCUGAGAUUUGGACUUAAGUGCAAAAGGGCCACACUUGACUCAUGUGAUGAAGUCUGAAAAUCAGAGAAUUGGCUCCACUUUUGGGCUUUGUAACUUUCAAAGCAUAGGGUUUUUGCCCUAGGUCACCAUAUCAAAGUUGAAGACCAAACAUAGGAGAACAACUUUGCUUAAGAAGGAAAGCAUAGUUAUUAAGAAAAAGGCAGAGAUAAUUAAGCCUCAAGUUUGGCUGCCAGGCGGGUCCAUGCUGAAAUCCAGAACUUCAGUGAAACAGAGCUAACUUUGGACUUGAUUUUAAGCAUGAUCCAGUGACUAAUUGUGAGUGCACCCUGCAGCAAAGUUAUAGUUGGAUGAUAGCCCUAUAUACUUUGGUACAGAAAGCUUGCUCGGUUACUACACAAAAUCGGGAGAAAAUCUAGCCUCAAAUCUCUCUGUCAGUUCACAUGAAAGGAGCUCGACAUGGUACAGUAACUUGACUGGAUCAGAUCAACCGCGCGGCUGCCCUCACCGCCGACGGAUUCCUCCGCCGUGAUUCGGGUCACCGGCGUUUGGAUUCGUGCACCGGACUUGUGGAUAGCGCCGUGGGGUUAAAAGAUCGUCGUCACCGCUGGACUGGAAGCUACCCCGAUCGGCCACGACACCCCUUCCCUUGGCUCACCGCCCGCGGUAAAGUGCUCACCGUCGACCACCGCCUCCCGGCCGUGCGCCGCGUGGCUCAACUCUUUCACCGUGUCGCCGUGACCUCCUCUGAACUCUCCGUAGCUCACCGGAGUUGCUGCCACGGCGAUAAACACGUGUUCACUGCACGCGGUUCUUCCUCCUCUCCGGCCGCCAGCACAACCUGCUUAAAUUGAUCGCCGCCGCUGUCGCUCCCUAUAAAUUGAGCCCCCCACCAGUUCCGUAAGGUCCUAAGCUAGCUGACCACCGCUAAUCGGCCACAAUCAUCCACUCAUCUGCUCGAAUUCGGAGUUUCCCCAAUUCAAGCUUUCGCCACCGUGAAACCAAGCUCACCGUCGCCAGCCCAUCUCCGGUCAGCUCCCGUCCUCUGCUUCCUCGUUUAAGCUUUUUCACAUACCCGUAAUGCUCAUAGACCCGCCCAAUUGAAAUAAACCGUCACCAAUCACCAGGAACACGAUGGGUUAGCCGUAGUACGUGCUGUCCUCGUGGGCAGAGCGAAAUAGAUCACCAAGCAUGAAAUUGAUUGGGGGGAAAUGGUCCUUAGAACUCGAAUUUGGUUUAAUCCAAAGCUGGGCACUAGUCCUUGUCCCAAUCGGCCGGCGCAGACAGCUCGCCGGAGCUCGGCCGUGUUCCACGGCGUCGGGGACUUAGCCGUGCAAAGAAUUAGAAACCAGAGGGGCUCGGUGUAAAGCGUCAGCGACUUAGUGAAUAGUGCUACGGACCUACUGCGAGUUGUUCUGAAACGCGAGGGCCCCUGUGCAAAGUCGCCAGGGCGCGGGUGCCUUUCCUCUCUGGAACUGGGCCGCUGGGCUGAAAUCAGCCCAACACUGUUUCAACCUUUUCUUUUUUCUUUUUCAGCAGAGCUUUAGAAAUAUGUAGAAAAAUGUAGAAAAAUGCUAAAAUUAUGAAACUAAUUUUCCUAGGCUUGUUAUUUUCCCUAGAAUUUAUUAAAAAUAAUUUUGUGAUUUUUAGUUGAAGUAAGAAAUUUUAGGGUAUUUAAAAUGGUUAAAAAUGUUGGUUAUAGAUUUUUAGAAAACAAAUGGUAAAUCCAAAAAUGCUCAAAAUUUUUAUAUGAGUUCCUCAUAAUAAUUAGAAGCCUUGGGUAGGAUUUGAAUUGAUUUGGACCUUGUUUGAUCUCCAAACCCCAAACCACCCCCCUGCCCUAUGAACUCCUUUACCGACUCCGGAAACCCUAAGUUCCCGGAACUCCGUGAAGGAAAGUUGUACUCAAGACAUAGAUAAUAAGUUUAUAUUAUCUUUGUAUACUCAUGAGCAUCCCAUGGCAUCCAUUCUUAUACUUAUGUAUCGUUAUGAUUAGAACGAGAAGAAGAGAUAGAAGUAACUGAAGAGGAGACACCACCACCUUCGGAGUCUCAGGCCAGGAAUCAUUUCUACUUUGACAUCUGUGGAUCUGAGUCUGAUUCACCUGUGAACGAAGGCAAGCCCCGGUGCAUGCCACCCCUUUCCUUGUGUUUUUAAAUACUUUUUGCACACUUAAGUCUAGUGAAAUGUGCAUUAGGUUCAUAGGAGUUACUUGAAACCCUUUGAUGCAUUGCUUUCCUUGACAUCCAUACCUUUAUAGAUACUUCGGUGAAGUAUCAAAACAUGAUUUACAAAAAUGCUUAGACUUGCUUAGAUCUUGCGGAUAGAAGUUGUCCUCAAUUUAACCAUGGAGAGGAUGGCUUCUACCUGCAAGAAUAUUUUCAUUUGUAGCAAUAGUGGGAUCUUACUGCAAAGCUCCCCGUGAUGCUCUUUCAUCCUAAGGAACAGACACAAUCCUAAGGAUGGAAAUACUUAAAUUGAGACUUGGGGUAGGAACAGGUGAUGUUCUACCCAAGUUGGUUAAGGAUUAACGCGUAUGUAGGCGUGCUGACCGAGGACCCUUUAACUGGUCACAUGCCUCGUCAUGGGUAAGCCUUGCCUCGGGUAGACUAAGGCCGGAAUAAGAUAACACGAAAUGGGCGUGGAGCGGUGGCGAGAGUAGCGUGUACCCUCCGUGGCAAGAGGCUGGACGGUGGUGUAUCUGUGCUCUCGGUUUGCGUGAACCUGAUCCGGUCUUAAGAACCCCGGUGGCGGGUUGACAUAUGCAAGGGUUAAGUGCUACAUAUGUCGUGUGAUUGGAGAUCCUCAGCUGAGUAUAAUCGAUUCGGAUCGCCGUACCUUCGCGGUUAUGAAGACUUGGUCACUUUUCUACAACCUAGAGUCAGGAUGUGAACACUAUGGAUAAAACUAAUGUUGUCUUGAUUUGAUGUGAAAUUAGACUAGAUGCAAAUAGAGUCUAUUAAUACUUAAGAUGGCAUUAAAAGAUGGAAAGUAAGGACUCACUUUAGUAAGCUUCUUCUGCAAAACUAUAAGUUGAUUUUUGCUAAAGCCUCUCCUUGACUCCUACUUAUCCAGCAUACCCUUGAGAGUCUUUUCCUUAGUCGGGUAAGACUUGCUGAGUAUUCCAUACUCAGGGUUUAUCCCUUUGUUGUUUUUAGGUGAAGAAGCGACAAACUUUUGUUGCUUCUGCUCCAAGGUGGUACCAAACGAGGAAAAAGAAGACUGAAGUGCGGGAGGAUUCGGUCCUCCACUUAGGAUCUUUUGUUUAUUAAACUUAUCGGGAGGAGUUUGUGCCUCCCUUGGUUUGUAUAAUAUUACUACUCUGCACUCACAUUUAGUCUGGUCUGUAAUAAAAUAACUCAAGCUUGCUUUUGAAAUAAAUGUAAGUUUAUGUAAUUCGCUUCCGCAUUUCUUUAUCUCCGAUGUUCUGUAAUGUCUGCAAGACGGGCGAGACGUUCCUGGUAAGGUAAGGAAAGAUACCGAACUUGUCAAGUAGUCAGGGGCACCU